GCCGCUUCCAGACAAGCUCGUGAGCUUUGGGUCUUUGCUGAGGCCCAACGUGAUGUAUAUAGGAAUUUGUGGGAGGCCGGAAUUGUGACUGAAGCUGAUUUUGAGGAAGCACGUCAAAAGACUCGUGAGGCCCGUACCUACUGUGGUUUUGAGGCGGCAACGCUAGAGGUUGAUGAUGGUGCAGGUGGUGACACGGACGGAGACGAAUAGAAGUGUGCGUUGUGUUGUUUUUGUUUUAUCUGUCGCUUGACGUUUAGGUGCUUCUGGUUUUUCUUUUUUCUUUUUCUUUGUACUAACCGGCGUUGGCCGGGUGGAAGCGGGGAUGAUCCGCAAUUAACUUUGUAGAUAAAUGAAAAUCAUUUUUCGUUAGUUGCAUUGUAUUUAUUUUUGUAUCUUUCCUUCUUCCCCCUUAGACUCUUCUUUGCACGCGUUCGAAUGGGUGAUUUGCCUUUGAGUUUGACUUUGGUCGGGUUUUCCUGAGUUAUAUGAUGAAGGCGCACGGCCUGGGUCCUGGUUCAAUUAUGGUGAGCUUAUUGGGUUUGAGGACGGGGGCAUCUAUCAUUGUAGUUCAAACAGGGUCGAAUUUGUUAGAUUUAAUGGUGAAGGCGCAUAGCCAGAGUCUCAGGUCGACCAUAGUUGAACUUUGAUAAAUUCGAUGGUGAAGGCGCAUAGCGUGAGUCUUGGUUCAACCAUAUUUGAACUUACUGGCAAAGGCGCAUAGCCUCGAUUUGAUGGCGAAGGCGCUUGGCAUGAGUCCCAGUUCAACUAUUGUUGAACUUUGAUAAAUUUGAUGGUGAAGGCGCAUAGCUUGAGUCCUAGUUCAACCAUAGUUGAACUUUGAGAAAUAUGAUGGAGAAGGUGCAUAGAUUGAUACUCGGUUCAACCGUAUUUGAACUUUGAUAAAUUUACCGGCGAAGGUGCAUAGCCUGAGUCCUAGUUAAACUGUUGUUUAACUUUGAGAAAUUUGAUGGCGAAGGAGCAUAGCCUGAGUCCUAGUUCAACUGUUGUCGAACUUUGAGAAUUUUGAUGGCGAAAGCGCAUAGCCUUAGUCUUGGUUCAACCGUAGUUGAACAUUGAUAAAUUUGAUGGCAAAUGCGCAUAGCCUAAGUCCUAGUUCAACUGUUGUUGAACUUUGAUAAAUUCGAUGGUGAAGGAGCAUAGCCUGAGUCUUGGUUCAAUCGUAGUUGAACUUACUAGCGAAGGCGCAUAGCCUCGAUUUGAUGGCGAAGGCGCAUAACCUCGAUUUGAUGGCGAAGGCGCAUAGCCUCGAUUUGAUGGCGAAGGUGCAUAGCCUGAGUCUCAGUUCAAUUGUUGUUGAACUUUGAGAAAUUUGAUGGCGGAGGUGCAUAGCCUGAGUCUUGGUUCAACAGAUGGCGUUCCUUUCCUUUUUCUCUGGGGCAAAACUGCACGAUUUUGCUAUGAAAUCCCCACAGAUGGCGCCAAAUUGUUUGCUCAAAAGUUAUCGUAUACUUUAUUAGUGUGUUUGGAAAGCCACCAUGUAAUUGGAAUUGGUGUAAUUACUUGGGUAGUAAAUACGCAUCCUAGUAAUUAUUCAGUUGUGUAAUUACGACGACCUGUUUGUUUGUCAUAGUGUAAUUACAAGUUUACUAUUUGGUUACACAAGAGUAAUUACGCAGUUAGAUUAAAUUUUAAAUUAAGUAAUUAUCAAAACUUAAAAGUUAAUAUAAUAAAUAUAUGCAUGUAAAAUUUUAAAAGUAUAAAUAAUAUUAUAUUUGGUAUUUAAGAUGUAUAUUUUUGGUGAAUAUAUAUUAAUAAGUAAUCAUAUAUUUAUAACUAAUAUUGUAGAAAUAAUUUUAUAUAUUUUUUAAAUUAAUAAUAUUUAGUUUAGAUACUUACAAAAACUAAAAAUAUACGUUUUUUGUAAGAACAUCAUGGAAUUUAUAUUUGAUAAAAUAAGUUAAUAUUAAUAAAUAUAAUGUCAUAACAUUAUUUAAAUUGUCACACCUCCUUUUUCGCUACACCCGCAAGGGCGUUAAGGAGCUUUUCCACUUAAACGACAAUCGGGACGAGAUUUGGUUAUUAAUUAUUCAAAGUCGCCACUUGGAAGAUUAAUGGUGUCCUAAGCCACCGAUUGAAUCCCCAACCGAGUAAAAAUAUGACUCUGUAUUACAGUCUGCGAUCCAGAAAUCCGGAUAAGAAAUUUUUUUAACCCGGGAGAAGGUGUCAGGCAUUCCCGGGUACUGUGGUUCUAGCAUGGUCGCUUAACUAUUGCAUUUGAUUUUAUCUGAUUAAUAUAUACUAACUUAUAUGCCUUUAUUCAUAUACCGUUGUUACCAUUAUUUAUUUUAACAGAAUUGCGACGUCGUGAAAACGCGUCUAUGACAACGUCGCUAUCAAGGCACCCGUGGUCGUAAACACAUUUCGACUUCGUCGAGAUUUGGAUUUGGGUCGAAUCAAUGCGCACCCGAGUUUAAGAAAGUAAUUUAAUUAAUCGCGCUUAAAGGUUCUAACGUAAUAUUUUUUCGGAAAGGCCGUUGAAAUUCGCUAAACGGCCCUUCCGAAUUCUAAUCAAUUUAAUAACUAAUUAUUGACGGCCCUACUUUUUUUGUUCGGUGAGGCUCAUCUCCAUUUUGAAUCCUUUUCGACUGUUAUUUGUUCUUAAGAAUUGCGACAUCGUGAAAACGCGUCUCUGACCACGUCGCCAUCAAGGCACCCGUGGCCAUCAACACAUUUUGACAUCGCCGAGAUUUGGAUUUGAGUUGCAUCAAUGCACACUCGAGAUUAAGAAGGUACUUCAAUUUAAAACGCGUCACAAGAUUCUAUGGCAAUAUUAUUUUGCGGAAGGCCGUGAAAUUCGCUAAACGGCCCUCCCAUAUUCUAAUCAAUUUUUAUAAUUGUUUAUCGGGGGCCCCGCAUCUAUGUUUUGUUUGGCAAGGCUCGUCUCGAACAUUUUAUUUUUUUAUGGUAAACUAAGGCAAUUACAAUUGUCUAGUUAUUUGUCUCUAAAGUGUGAAGGCCCUAAUUCAUUAAUAUUCAAAGAGGCCCAUCUCCUCUGCCGCAGAUAACACUCAACUCAUGGGCAGCGAGCCCUUUUCCUUUUGCUUAAAAUAAUGCCCUUUAUUUCUGCUUAAUUUCUGUGUUUGAUUGCUAUCUACUGAACAUAGUAAAUGAAUUAGUCAUUGCUGAAGUUAUGAACGAACCAGACUACUAUCUACCGCAUUUUAAAGAGGACAUGGAAUCAAUUCAUAACCACGAAAAAUAAGAAACUGUCCACUGUAACUCUAAUCCAGCUUAACCAACCACCUAAGAAUUAAAAGCAAAUUUAAACAUAGUGUAAGCAAAUCUCCAGUUCUAGGCUAAUUAUAGGCAUACUCAACAAUCACUUCUAAGGAAGGAAAUUCUAGGAUUAUGCUACUUGUUGUUAAGAAAAGUGAGGACUAUGAAUCACCAAUUCACUUACUGUUUGAUUAACCUCUGAUUUUCAAAAUUUAACCACAUAAUCCAAAUCUAAUUACGGCAUAUACAGUAGACUAUCAAAUGUUCCCAAACAGUCCAACUCAGUCUUUGACUGAUCAUCGAACUGACUUUUAUUACAGUCAAACUUCAAGUAAUUAAACAUAAACUUAAGCAAAUCCUAGAACCGGCUAUAAUCGAAUAUGAAAGUCAGAUUAUAUUAACAUUCACUCAAUAACUCCAAGCAAAUCCAUAGGAACUGAGAUCAAUUCUUCAUUCAUAGCUUCCACAAGCAAUUCAUACGAGUGUGUCAGACUUUUAAUUUGAAGAGCAAAUGAAAAUGUACCUGGCAAUGGUAAUACAACGAGGGAGAAGAAGAGGUCAGCAACAAUAGCACACAGCAAAUCAGGCAAAUUUGAGAGCAAACUAAGACUUGGAAAUUAGCCACAAUCACUUGAAUGUGUCCAGGUGUGCUUGUGAAUGCAUCAGAAAUACUCCAACGAAAUACAAAAAACCAACAACUAACUCUAAAACAACUCAAUUGAGAAUCACACCAAUCGGCCAAAUCAGUACAUUUCUGAAAUCAGAGCCAUCAAAACUAAACUGGAAAUUCAACAAAUCAACCAACCAAUGCUUGAGAUCCACCCAGAAUUCUAAUAAAACAGUGUUUGUUUGUAUUUUCUUUUUGUUUUCUUUUGGUUUUUUGAUAGUUUUGAAUUCAAAUUUAGGAAAGAAAUUUCUGGAGGAAUUUCUCAGAUCUGAAAAAAACUGAAGUAGGGGUUUGGGCAAAUCUUUUAGGCUCCAAAACUUGUGAAAGAAGUAAAGGUCAUGCGCCUUUUAUAGGCACAAAGGAGUCUUAUCAGAUUUUCAGCUUUCUUUUUCGGUCCCUCCCCAUUUUCAACUUUAGUACCAUAUUUUUUAAUUUGUUAUCCAAGUACACUUAUCUUUUGCAAAUUACCUAAAAUCCCCUAUCUAGAAUCUCCUAGAAAGUUCAUCCAACAUUCUCUACCCUUGAACUACCUAUCUUGCCCCUGAAUUUAAGCUAAAUAACAGCUAUAAACAAACAAUUCCCUAAGCUCUACAAAAUGCAAUCCUAAUCUAAGUAAUCAAUUUAAUCACUGAAUCAAACUAACAACAACAAUCAGUAAAACUAACCACCAGCUAAACUAAUCAAUACGGAUAAUCAAAUGACAUUCAAACAAAUGUUAAAUAACCAAAAUCAAAAUUGAAACCUAAUACUGCAAGUCAUGGUUUAACAGAAAGGGUCGAGUUGAAUUCAAGCUAUUCACAGAAUGAAUAACAACUUAAUAACUAAAAACUAAGACGAACAGGAAGAUGAUGAUCAAAUGCAACAGAUACGGAAUGAAAUUGAAACAGAAUUGAAGAAAACUUAAUGACUUCCAAAUUAACACUUUUAAAUGACAAAAUAAAAAUUAAGAUAACACCAAUAGGAAGAAGGGAAGAAAAAACAGAAUAGGGAAACUCAACUGCUUUAAACAAUUUGUCUCAGAACUUGAGCGGACUUGGUAAUAUUCGACCUCGCCAAGGGUCAAUUCUUCACGAGGAGACGAGGCGACAUUGGCGUGUUAAUUUAAUACCAAACGGAGGACCCUAAGAAUUGACUGCCAUUUCUGAUUGAAAAUUUAAGACGUCGUAGACUGAUUUGAGGGAGACUCUUGAUGGAUUGGUGAUGAGGUGGAGGAGAAGGUCUGGUGGCGUGAAUUUUGACCCGCUUGGGCGAGUUUAGACUUGGCCGGACAAUUUCAAUCGAAGAUACGGACAGUCUGGUUGUGAUUCGAAGGAAGCCAAUGUGAUAUUUGGAAUAAGGGUAUCGAGGAGGGUUGGUGGUAUUAUUUUGGGUGGGAAUGGUGAAGAUGGCGUUUCCCGCCGAUGAGGAGUUGCAGAGAGUUAUAUGAGGAUGGUGACAUUGGCGGUCUCUAGGUUUUCAUUAUUAUCCGACAAUUUUAUCAUAAAAAGGGGAAGUGCUCUUAUCUGUUAGAUCAAACAGUCUAGAGGGUCGAGAUUAUUCCUAAGUGGCUGAAAUCGAAAUGGCGUAGUUUCCAUCAUAAACUACGUCGUUUGAGCUGCUUGAGUGACUUAAAUGGCUGGACCGGACUUGGUGUGAUUUGGGCAUGUAAGGAUGAGUGACUUCGGCUCAAUUUAAACAAAUGCAGCCGCCCAAAACUUGGGCAGCCUUCUCCUUCUCAUUUCAAUUAAACCUUGUGUUCUCUCUUUUGCAAAUCGUUUUUUUGUUCUUUUUAUGUUUUCCCAAUUAAUUGCUUUUUAUUUUCCACCUUAUUUUUUUAUCUUUUUUUUGGUUUUAUGAAUAUUUCCAAACAUUAAACCAAAUAUUAAACUCUACUAAUGAAUGCCUAAAAUUACUUUAAAACUAUUUCAAGAAAAUUUCACAAUUAAAUUGCUAAAAAUGCAAAGUGAACUAUUUUUUGUGAUUUUUCAAGUUUUAUUCUAAUACAAAUUAACCCCUAAUUAAUCCUAAAAAUAUGACAUUAUAUCCUAAAUGCAAAUUCAUAUUUUUUGUAUUUUCAUGUGAAUUAACACGCACAAAUAAAAUACAAACAAUUAACACAAAAUUCACAAAAAUUGUAAAAAUAAGAAAAAAGUAUUUGUGUUUGAAUUUUUGGGAAUAAUUCAUAUAUAGGGCAAAAAUCACGUGCCCAGUGUACUUCGGGAGUGUAUGGUAGCUGGGACUACCAGGAGCUGUGAUUUCACUGUGAUUGCUGCUGCUACUGCUUGCUGGCCGUUCUUAUAACACCGUGUCAAAAAAUAAAAAACGCUAGCCUAGGCUAUGAACUAUGAAUUACAAAAGUCCUAUCUAAGAUCUUCAAACUUGCUCUUGUACUUCCUUGUUAUCUUGUGCUCCCUUGGUGAAAUUCAUUAUCAUUACUUAAACUUGCUAACUGAGAUGUUGUCCCUUCUCUCCACCUUGCUGAACUUUUUCCUUGGUGAAAUCAAUUGUCGUUACUUCAACUUCUAAUUGAGAUGUUGUUCCUUCUAUUCACAUUGCUGAACUUGAAUAAACUUGAACUGGAAUGUAUUCCUCUGUUAUCCAGGCGAGCUCCUGACUUCACAUAAAUAGACAAAACAAAGAAAACUUUCUGCCCCAGUUUGAAAAAUUGGGUGGUGGAUACCAUACAUGUCAAAAAUUAAAAACUACAACUGAAUUGUGAUAAGACUGAAAUGUAAUUGUAAAAUUUAAAGACGGAAAUGUAUUCCUCUAUUAUCCAAGCGGGCUCCUAACUUCAAAACUUGAAAAUUUAAAGACUGAGAUGUUUCAAAAACUUCAAAUUUAAAGACUAAAGUGUAUUCCUCUAUUAUUCAGGCGGGCUAAAUAUUUCAAACCGAAAAUUUAAAAAUUAUCUUAGGUGAAAAUUUCAUCCGACUAAGCUUUGUAUCUUAGGAGAAAGAUUCAAUUGACUAAGAUUCUUACCUUUUUCUUAGGUGAAUAAUUUAUCAGACUAAGAUUUUUGUCUUAGGAGAAAGAUUCAACAGACUAAGAUUUCUAUCUUUUAUCUUAGUUGAAAAAUUCAUCCGAACAUGAUUUUCAUCUUGGGUGAAAGAUUCAGCAGACAAAAAUUCUGACUCUAGGAGAUAUUUCAUCAGACUAGGUCCAUUUUUGUGUGAUCUCAGAAGAAAGAUUCAUCGGACUGAAAUUUUGACUCUAGGAGAUAAUUCAUCAGACUAGGUCCGUUUUUCGAAUUCAAACAUUCCUUUCCUUCUUUUUCAAAUUGUGCCUUCCUUUCUUUCCCCCAAAUUAUGCCUUCUUUUCUUUUUCCCAACUUUUGUCUUUCUUCCCAAAUUAUGCCUUCCUUUCUCUUUCCAACUUCUGCCUUCCCCUUUUUUUCCAAAUUAUACCUUUAUCUUAGGUACAAGAUUCAACAGACUAAGAAUUCUUCAUCUUAGGUAAAAAAUUCAACAGACUAAGAUUUUUUAUCUUAGGUGCAUGAUUCAACAGACUAAGAUUCUUCAUCAUAGGUGAAAAAUUCAUCAGACUAAGAUUUUUCUUUUAACCAUUUUCCUCCAAAACUUGUUUUAUCUACCCUCUAACUUUAAUUAUCUUCCUCGAGAACUGCUUCCUUAAAUACCGGUGUUGUCCUCCUUCAAAAACUGCUUCCCUAAAAACUUGGUGUUCCAAUCCUCCGAAAAUUACUUUCCUUAAAACCGGUAUUUCUUUCCUGAACACUACUUUUCUCUUCUUCUUUUAACGAACUUGUAUUUGACCUUCAUGUUCUUCGAAUGGGUACCCGACUUCAAAAACGAUUUUCAAAAUGGCAGAAAAUUUUCUGCCCCAGCAUUUCUUUCUGCCAUCAAUAACAUUUCCAUGCCCCUGUUUCAAACCAAAGAAAAUUUUGUCAGUUUAAAGUGUGGUGGUUGGUUGUGGUACUUCCGCAGGAGAUGGCUUUCCCUUUUCUCCUUUCCAUGCUCUGUGUUGUCUGACCAUCUUUGGAACCUGGCUGAUGACUUCCGACUUUCUUGGUGAAUCCUUAUUCACAAACUUCCAUAUUUUAACCUUCCUGUCGGCUAUGAACCCAAAGCAUGUCUAUUUCCCCCACAGGAUAUUGUUGUUUCUUGACUUAUCUGAUGGCCUUGGCCCUGAGGUUUGUUUCUCCCUUAUUUGUCACGAUAAACUUCUUUUUAUUUUAAGACCCUGCUUGUUUCUUACUCAACCACUUCCUGUGCCAUCCCUGGCACCGAACAAUUCCUCUUCUACAUUCAAAUUCUAUACCUUCUGUUUGUUGCGCUGCUUCACCAACCCUCGUGUCUUAUGUAAAGCCCAAAGCAUGUUUAUUGUCACCCAUAGUAUGUUGUUCUUCCAAAUUGAAACCCCUAGCCCUUUGACCCUGAAGUCUGUUGCUCCCCCAAAGAAUGUUGAGUAUCACCAGCUUAGUGCUCUUGUUGUUAUUCUUGACUUAUGACACUUUGAUAUGCUAUCCAGAUCUUGUCUUGUGCAAUUAGAAAGCUGGUGGAAUAUUUUGAAGUCAUUUCUCACUUGAUUUGACCAAACAGACUCAGGAAGAGGAAGUAAACAAGACAAAAGGAAUAGAGUAAAGGACAACAAAAGAGAUAAUUCCUAAAAGAGCAAACUACGAAGUAGAGACCUAUAAAAGGAGGAUACCAACUCUAAUGACCAUGACAUGCACCUGUAGAUAUUCUGCCAAUCAAACCUGAUGUUCAGCUCUUGUUGUAUCUUUUCGUCGUGAAACUAGGUUUUUGUGCUCCGCUUAUCCAAUCUGAUUACAUUCCUUAUUCGACUUGUAGUGCCUGAAGGGUUUUCAACAUCAAGCCUCUCGCUCUUGUUGUAUCAUUUCGCCGUAAAACUGGGCUUCAAUGCUCCACUUAUAUGAUUCUCUUUCCUUAUUCGACUUGUGGCGCCCGAAGGGUUUUCACCAUCAAAACUCUUUCAUUUGUUUUUUCUCUCAACUUACGUUGCCUUAAGGUGCUUGUGAAGGUUUUCACCAAUAAAACUCUCUUAUUUUUUAUCAGCUUCCAUCACCUUGUUUGGACCAGAGUGUUGCCCCUAACAUGAAUUACCUUACCUGCUUACUUGGCAUUUCUCAAAGACUGAUCAGAAGGUCUUUCUUUGGACCGUAAUGUAGAUUUUUGGAUGUGUUAGAAAGAGAGGGUAUAAAGGCUCAAAACAAUUCAAAAUGGGGUUAAAACUACACCUUUCGGAAUCCAAUUUCUCAAAACAACCACAAUUUCUGCCUCAGUUUCUUACUUGGGGGCUUUUGGAUUUUUAUUCUGGUAUGACUGAACCUCAGAGAGGCUGCCUAUGUACCCUUUCGGGAUAAAGUUAAACGUAGUUCGCGUUAUCGUAAUUACUUCUGUUGUGAUUUUUCCUUUUCUUUUCUUUUAUUUCUUUUCUUUCUUUUCAUUUUUCUUUAUCCUUUCUUUUCUUUCUUUUCAUCUUUUUCUUUUCUUUUCUUUUCUUUUUCCAAUUCUGUUCCUUUUCUUUUUUUAUGUGUGGGCACCUGCAUUUCUUGAUUGUGCCGUUGAUUCCAAAAGAGGGAUACAAAAGAAAACAAAUAAAGCUCAAAAAGGGUGACAGAAGGGGUAAAGUGUUUAGAUAGCAGAACAAAAUUCCUUCGUCAUUUCAGACUUCAAAAUAUGCCAAAUACAAACAAGUGCAGUCAGAAUACAUAAACCAUACACAUUAUUUCUUGACCACAUCGGAAUUGACGGUCAUUUCCACACAUUUUCCUUCUACAUCUGUCUGAUGUAAUAUGCCAUUGGGCCACACUCUUACUCUUAUUACCACGAACGUCCCCCAGUCAAUUUGGCCAACUUGAUUUUGCGAGGAUUUUUUAUGUUUUUCUUUCCCCAGUUUCACAUGGUUCGAGCGUCAUACAAUCUCACAACGUUCAAAUCUAUUCUUAUUUCCUCAAGUACCCUCAUCGUCUUCAAAAUUGUUUCACUGCUUCUCGACCAACAUGGCUUUCAAAAAUCCGACUGAGAAUUUGUGUACAUGCCAUGUCACUAGAACCAGCAGGACAAGAAUUGUGGAAAGAAAAGAAAACUAAACGAAAAUGACUAGAAAACAAAGAAGUGUAUUAAACGGCCGGUGAAAGGGUUUAACAACACAACAAGCAACACAAACUGGGGUACAAUCCUAAAACAAAACCUAGAUAACACUACAUAAGAUAUGAUGACUAAAGGAACUAGACACAUAAAAGGAUAGAAGGGUUUGAAUCACAAGACAAUAUCCGGAUUAAAACCUGAAAAUAACCCGGACAACAGAAAUGACAAAAAAAUAAACCACCAAGACUUCUCUCUAAAUGGCCAAGAGAUGAAGCGUCUUUCCAAUUACCAAGCUCGGCAUUUUAGCCACAGAGUUCUACAUCAAUAUUUCCAAGAUCAUUACCAACUUCGAUAUCAUCAACUUCAGUUAACAAGUUCCCAAGAGGAUUCGCAUGCUCCCUAUCACUGUCAUUAACCACAAUUACCCCUUCUUCAAUCAUUAUUUCUACUUUCCUUUUUCAAUUCACGACAAUUCUCCACAUUGUGCCCCAGAUCAUUGGAGUGGUAUUCACACCUAUUAGAUGAGUCAAAGCUUCUCGCACGUCGGUCUCCUUUUCAAAUCCUGACAAUUCUCCAUAUUGUGCCCCAGAGCAUUGGAGUGGUAUUCACACCUUUUUGAUGAGUCAAAGAUUCUCGCACGUCGGUCCACCUGAUUUGGAAUAAUGGGUGCAAUCAUGUCAUGUUGUUUUAACUUCUCAAAUAGGCUUGCAUAAGACUUUCCUAUUGGUGUAAAACUAUCUUUCAACUUUUGUUCUCUUCUAUACCCCUGGCUUGGGUAUGGGUUAAAAGGUACUUGAAAAUUUUGCGGAGGCGGGUACAGAUUUUAUGAUACUCGUGCUCGCUUUCUUGGAUGAUUUGAUGGUUGGGCAACAUAUUGAGAUGGAUCAACAGAGCAUGGGGGGUUUGGAGAUGGAUAGUAAUGCUUAGGGGGGUCGUGGAAAACCUGGUGAGGCUGCACAUACCUUCGAGAUGUUCUCCUAUGACCUCUUCUCGACCCUGAUAUCAUCAUGAGUUUUUCAUCCCUCUCAUUCGUGUUACCUGAUUCAAUUUGGACAGCAUGAGAUGCAGCUUUGAGAGCUGUUUGACUUAAAAUUAUGCCUGUCUUAAGACCGUUCUCCACCAUUUCUCCCAUUUUUAUUGCUUCUAAGAAGGAUUUACCCACUCGAGACGUCAUGUAUUGAAAAUAAUCUGCCUCUUGAGCAUGUAGAAAGACAGUGAUUAACUCCUGGUCAUCCAUGGGUGGCUUAGCUCUAGCUUCCUGCUCUCUCCAUUUGAUGGCAUAUUCCUUGAAACUUUCAGUUGGUUUAUUUUUCAGGUUAGAAAGGGAAAUGUGGUCUGGGGUGAUGUCGAUGUUGUACUGAAACUGUUUGACAAAGGCUCGUGCCAUGUCAUCCCAAACGUACCAGCAAGAUGUGUCUUGAUCCAAAAACCAUUUAGAUGCUACUCUUGUGAGGCUUUCCCCAAAGUAAGCUAUAAGUAAUUUUUCAUUUCUUCCUACACCUCUCUAUUGGUUGCAAUACUUUUUCAGGUGGGCUAUGGGGUUUCCACGCCCAUUAUACUUUUCAAAUUUGGGAACCUUGAAACCAAGUGGCAAGUGAACAUCGGGGAACAUAUAUAGAUCUCUGAAGGAAACACUCUUUUGACCUGCCAUUGCAUGUGUGUUUUUCAGCCACUGUUCCAAUCUUUUCACUCCUUGGGCUAUUUCUUCUUAUACUCUCGUUCGGGCAAGCUUCUCGAUGUUUGCAGGAAGAUCAAACGAGUACGAGUGGUACUCGGGAGUGUGGUACUACUCUCUAUGUGUAGCAAAUUGUGACUCAUGCCAAGGCUGUCCCUGGCCAUUAACCCAGGCUUGACGCAUUUUGGUCAUUUGUUGUUUCAGUGUUCUAUUUUCCUCAACCACAUUAGACCCUUGUUGAACCCUCUGACCCUGAGUCUCUGGAGCACCCGUAACAGCUUCGAUAUCGGUUUUCAUUUUCCUUGGAUCUUGUGUUUCUAGCUUACUACAACCAACCACCUCAACUUUCUUCACAAUUCAAAACAAAACCUGUUAGAAUGGAUUCGGUCGGUCCUCAUUAUUCACAACACCUUUUUCCAUUUUUUUAAUUUUUUUGUUUUGGUUGUGAUUGAAUCCUAUGUGGAUUGCCUACGUAUCGUGACCCCGCACGAAUCAGACCAGGCGUAGUUCGUGUGUCCUUAGAAGAGGAUGCCAAAUGAGCACUUUCAGUCUUAUCUUGCUUUAUCCUUUCUCCUCUUGCACACAAUGUGAAAUAAGCUCGUUAAGAGUCCAUUUCUCCUUCAGGCAGUUGUAACUGACCUUAAACUGAUUAAAGUGUACAGGAAGAGAUAUCAAAACUAAGUACACAAGCAGUUCCUCAGGUAAUACUAGCUUGAGUGACUUAAGUUUCGAAGCAAGAUGAGACAUUUCCAAAAUAUUUUUGGUAUUCACUAGACCACUGACUCUUUUCUUAUUUUUUUCAAAUUAAAAAAAAUGACACGGUAUUGCAAACACGGCCUUCCAAUGCCUCGGUGACGAAGAUUUUAAGGCUGUGAGGGUCAAAAAUAAAAAUAUGACCAAAGGUGGCUGUUUAUGCAAGGUUAGCCUUCCGGCGUUCCGUUUGAGAAUAUUUGGCUAUUUUUGACAAAAACGGAAUCACCUGGUUUAUUUAUGACUUAAAUUAAAAUUUUGACAUUUUUUGGGCUAUUUUUGUAAAUGGGAGGUUGGACCCGAUGAGGGUUUCCUACGUAUCUCACGCCCUGUGAGAAUCAAACCAUGCGUAGUUCGGGCAAAUAAACCGAACUAUUUUAAAACAAGUCUCUUUUCAUUUUCAUUUUUAGCACUUCAUAAGCAAAAAUAAAAAAAAAUUACUUUUAAAAACAAGACUUUUUUUCCUUUUUCUUUUUCAACAAACAACCUAAUUUUGCCAAUUAAAAAUAAAAUACUCUUUUUCAUUUUUCAACAAAUAAUAAAAUAACCUAUUUUUUCGAACUAAAAAUAAACGACUCUUUUCGUUUCUUUUUCAACAAACAAUAAAACAACCUAUUUUUCCGAACUAAAAAUAAAAGACCUCUUUUUCUUCUUGUUCGCAAACAAUUUCCAAAAAAUGAAACUCCUUUUUCUAUUUUCCCCUUACUUUUUAGUAAAACAAAGUGAAACAUUUUCCAUUUUUUUCAUUUUAUCAAAAUUUAGGCAGAGUCUCAACAAUACUUGGGCAUUAUUUUUUAAAAAAUAAUCAAUUAACUCUCUAACUGUUAUUUCUCUCCUUUUUUCUCUUUUUCAAUUUUUCAACAUUUCGGAGAUUCAAAAUCUGGUCAACAUGCAGGCUCGAACAAAUAACUGCACAGAAGAAGUAGGAUGCACCAUGAUGGUCUUUUCAUUUCAGGUUGCUAGCCCUAGACGAACCCAACCCCUGUGUUGAGUCCCCAAAGUCAAAUGCAGCAUGAUGCAAAUAAGCGUUCCUACUAGGGAUCUGGCAUGAAGUCAAGUUAUUCUAUGUUCAGAACCUGGGUCGGUGUUCUAGAUAGUGUACCCAAGCGGAAACUCGGGUCGAGGAAGGAGCAACGUACAGGUGACCCGCGGGAUCGUCCGGCUUUGUAACUUAUCCAAGCCUCUUUUCAUUUCAGGGUAUGAUACUAACAAAAUAGGGAGUCUCAACCAGUAAGUAAAUCCCCGGAUGUGAAGAAAGAAGGGUAUUGGCACAAUUUAUAUACAGUUUAGAUAAUAUCAAAGCGGUAACAUUUAGCACAUUAACCAUGAAACAUGUAGGAAAAUCAGAUAUAGCCAACUACAACAAUUAUUCUAAGCUCGAAUCUGAACCCUGAACAAAACGUUCUGGGUUCUUAUUCCCCAGCAGAGUCGCUAGAGCUUUCACACCUCCUUUUUCGCUACACCCGCAAGGGCGUAAAGGAUUUUUUCUACUUAAAGGAUAAUCAAACGUGAUUUGGUUAUUAAUUAUUCGGAGUCGCCACUUGGGAUAUUAAUGGUGUCCCAAGUCACCGAUUGAAUCCCGAACCGAGGAAAAAUAUGACUCUGUAUUACAGUCUGCGAUCCAGAAAUCCGGAUAAGGAAUUUUGUUAACCCUGGAGAAGGUGUUAGGCAUUCCGGGGUUCCGUGGUUCUAGCACGGUCAUUUAACUGUUGUAUUUAAUUUUAUCUGAUUUAAUAUAUGCUAACUUAUGUGCCUUUAUUCAUAUACCACUGUUACCAUUACCAUUAUUUAUUUUAAAAGAUUUGCGAUGUCGUGAAAACGCGUCUCUGACCAUGUCGCAAUCAAGGCACUGUGGUCGUCAACACAUUUCGACUUCGUCGGGAUUUAGAUUUCAGUUGCAUCAAUGCACACCCGAGUUUAAGAAAGUAGUUUAAUUAAAUCGUGCUUAAAGGUUCUAACCUAAUAUUUUUUGGGAAAGGCCGUUAAAAUUCACUAAACGGCCCUUCCAAAUUCUAAUCAUUUUUAAUAACUAAUUAUUGAGGGCCCCACAUUUAUUUUUUGCUCGGUGAGGAUCAUCUCCAUUUUUGAAUCCUUUUCGACUGUUAUUUGUUUUAUAAGAAUUGCGACACUGUGAAAAUGUGUCUCUGACCACGUCGCCAUCAAGGCAACCGUGGCCAUCAACACAUUUCGACUUCUCCGAGAUUUAGAUUUGGGUUGCAUCAAUGCACACCUGAUUUUAAGAAGGUAAUUUAAUUAAAAUGUGUCUAAAGAUUCUAUCGCAAUAUUAUUUUAGGGAAGGCCGUGAAAUUCGCUAAACGGCCCUCCCAUAUUCUAAUCAAUUUUUAUAAUUGUUUAUCAGGGGCCCCGCAUUUAUGUUUUGUUUGGCGAGGUUGUCUCGAACAUUUUAUUUGUUUAUGGUAAACUAAGGAAAUCACAAUUGUCUAGUUAUUUAUCUCUAAAGUACGAAGUCCCUAAUUCAAUAAUAUUCAAAGAGGCCUAUUUCCUCUGCCGCAGAUAACACUCGACUCAUGAGCAACGAGCCCUUUUCCUUUUGCUUAAAAUAAUGCCCUUUAUUUCUGCUUAAUUUCUGUGUUUGAUUGCUAUCUACUGAACAUAGGAAAUGAAUUAGUCAUUGCUGAAGUUAUGAACGAACCACACUACUAUCUACCGCAUUUUAAAAAGGACAUGGAAUCAAUUCAUAACCACGAAAAAUAAGAAACUGUCCACUGUAACUCUAAUCCAGUUUAACCAACCACCUAAGAAUUAAAAGCAAAUUUAAACAUAGUGUAAGCAAAUCUCCAGUUCUAAGCUAAUUAUAGGCAUACUCAACAAUCACUUCUAAGGAAGGAAAUUCUAGGAUUAUGCUACUUGUUGUUAAGAUAAGUGAGGACUAUGAAUCACCAAUUCACUUACUGUUUGAUUAACCUCUGAUUUUCAAAAUUUAACCACAUAAUCGAAAUCUAAUUACAGCAUAUAUAGUAGACUAUCAAAUGUUCCCAAGCAGUCCAACUCAGUCAUUGAGUGAUCAUCAAACUGACCUUUAUUACAGACAAACUUCAAGUAAUUAAACUUAAACUUAAGCAAAUCCUAGAACCGGCUAUAAUCGAAUAUGAAAGUCAGAUUAUAUUAACAAUCACUCAAUAAUUCCAAGCAAAUCCAUAGGAACUGAGAUCAAUUCUUCAUUCAUGGCUUCCACAAGCAAUUCAUACGAGUGUGUCAGACUUUUAAUUUGAAGAGCAAAUGAAAAUGUACCUGGCAAUGGUAAUACAACAAAGGAGAAGAAGAGGUCAGCAACAAUAGCACACAGCAAAUCAGGAAAAUUUGAGAGCAAACUAAGACUUGGAACUUAGCCACAAUCACUUGAAUGUGCCCAGGUGUGCUUGUGAAUGCAUCAGAAAUACUCCAACGAAAUACAAAAAACCAACAACUAACUCUAAAACAACUCAAUUGAGAAUCACACCAAUCGGCCAAAUCAGUACAUUUCUGAAAUCAGAGCCAUCAAAACUAAAUUGGAAAUUCAACAAAUCAACCAACCAAUGCUUGAGAUGCACCCAGAAUUCUAAUAAAACAGUGUUUGUUUGUAUUUUCUUUUUGUUUUCUUUUUUUUUUCUUUUGGUUUUUUGAUAGUUUUGAAUUCAAAUUUAGGUAAGAUAUAUCUGGAGGAAUUUUUCAGAUCUGAAAAAAACUGAAGUAGGGGUUUGGGCAAAUCUUUUAGGCUCCAAAACUUGUGAAAGAAGUAAAGGUCAUGCCCCUUUUAUAGGCACAAAGGAGGCCUAUCAGAUUUUCAGCUUUCUUUUUCGGUCCCUCCCCAUUUUCAACUUUAGUACAAUAUUUUUUAAUAUGUUAUCCAAGUACACUUAUCUUUUGCAAAUUACCUAAAAUCCCCUAUCUAGAAGGUCCUAGAAAGUUCAUCCAACAUUCUCUACCCUUGAACUACCUAUUUUGCCCCUGAAUUUAAGCUAAAUAACAGCUAUAAACAAACAAUUCCCUAAGCUCUACAAAAUGCAAUCCUAAUCUAAGUAAUCAAUUUAAUCACUGAAUCAAACUAACAACAACAAUCAGUAAAACUAACCACCAGCUAAACUAAUCAAUACGGAUAAUCAAAUGACAUUCAAACAAAUGUUAAAUAACCCAAUCAAUAAAACUAACCACCAGCUAUACUAAUCAGUACUAAUAAUCAAAUGACAUUCAAACAAAUGUUAACUAACCAAAAUCAAAAUUGAAACCUAAUACUGCAAGUCAUGGUUUAACAGAAAGGGUUGAGAUGAAUUCAAACUAUUCGCAGAAUGAAUAACAACUUAACAACUAAAAACUAAGAUGAACAGGCAGAUGAUGAUCAAGUGAACCAUAUACGGAAUGAAAUUGAAACAGUUUUGAAGAAAACUUAAUGACUUCCAGAUUAACACUUUUAAACGACAAAAUAAAAACUAAGAUAACACCAAAAGGAAGAAGAGAAGGAAAAACAUAAUAGGGAAACUCAACUGCUUUAAAAAAUUUGUCUCAGAACUUGAGCGGACUUGGUAAUAUUCGACCUCGCCAAGGGUCGAUUAUUCACGAGGAGACGAGGAGACGAGGUGACCUUGGCGUGUUAAUUUGAGACCAAACGAAGGACCCUAAGACUUGACUGCCAUUUUUGAUUGAAAAUUCAAGGCGUCGCAGACUAAUUUGAGGGAGACUAUUGACAGAUUGGUGAUGAGGCGGAGGAGAAGGUCUGGUGGCGUGAAUUAGGACCCGUUUCGGCAAGUUUUGACUUGGCCAGACAAUUUCAAUCGAUGAUUCGGACAGUUUGGCUGUGAUUCGAAGGAAGCCAAUGCGAUAUUUGGAAUAAGUGUAUCGAGAGGGGUUGGUGGUAUUAUUUUGGGUGGGAACAGUGAAGAUGGUGUUUCCCUCCGGCGAGGAGUUGCAGAGAGUUAUACGAGGAUGUGACACUGACUGUCUCUAGGGUUUCAUUAUUCUUAGACAAUUUUAUCAUAAAACU
rnacentral:lncRNA from 1 species